CGAUAAGCGCCGGUAAGGUGAUAUGAACCGUUAUAACCGGCGAUUUCCGAAUGGGGAAACCCAGUGUGAUUCGUCACACUAUCAUUAACUGAAUCCAUAGGUUAAUGAGGCGAACCGGGGGAACUGAAACAUCUAAGUACCCCGAGGAAAAGAAAUCAACCGAGAUUCCCCCAGUAGCGGCGAGCGAACGGGGAGGAGCCCAGAGCCUGAAUCAGCAUGUGUGUUAGUGGAAGCGUCUGGAAAGGCGCGCGAUACAGGGUGACAGCCCCGUACACAAAAGCGCAUGUGCUGUGAGCUCGAUGAGUAGGGCGGGACACGUGGUAUCCUGUCUGAAUAUGGGGGGACCAUCCUCCAAGGCUAAAUACUCCUGACUGACCGAUAGUGAACCAGUACCGUGAGGGAAAGGCGAAAAGAACCCCGGCGAGGGGAGUGAAAAAGAACCUGAAACCGU
rnacentral:rRNA from 1 species